rnacentral:misc_RNA from 1 species
ACAAACUUGGUCAUUUAGAGGAAGUAAAAGUCGUAACAAGGUUUCCGUAGGUGAACCUGCGGAAGGAUCAUUACCAAUAUUAGCGAAUCUGACCUUUUGGGGUUAUGGUCUCGCGAAAACUUUGUAUUUAAAACCCCACUCUUAUUAAGAAAUGAAUCAUUUUUAUAUGUAAAUAAAUAAAGAUCACUUUCAACAACGGAUCUCUUGGCUCUCUUAGAGGAAGUAAAAGUCGUAACAAGGUUUCCGUAGGUGAACCUGCGGAAGGAUCAUUACCAAUAUUAGCGAAUCUGACCUUUUGGGGUUAUGGUCUCGCGAAAACUUUGUAUUUAAAACCCCACUCUUAUUAAGAAAUGAAUCAUUUUUAUAUGUAAAUAAAUAAAGAUCACUUUCAACAACGGAUCUCUUGGCUCUCGCAUCGAUGAAGAACGCAGC